rnacentral:rRNA from 1 species
UGGGGAAUAUUGCACAAUGGGCGCAAGCCUGAUGCAGCCAUGCCGCGUGUAUGAAGAAGGCCUUCGGGUUGUAAAGUAUCUUUCAGGCGGAGGAGGAAUGGGGAGUGUUAAUAAUCCAUUUUCAUUGACGUUACUCGCAGAAGAAGCACCGGCUAACUCCGUGCCAGCAGCCGCGGUAAUACGGAGGGUGCAAGCGUUAAUCGGAAUUACUGGGCGUAAAGCGCACGCAGGCGGUCUGUCAAGUCGGAUGUGAAAUCCCCGGGCUCAACCUGGGAACUGCAUUCGAAACUGGCAGGCUAGAGUCUUGUAGAGGGGGGUAGAAUUCCAGGUGUAGCGGUGAAAUGCGUAGAGAUCUGGAGGAAUACCGGUUGGCGAAGGCGGCCCCCUGGACAAAGACUGACGCUCAGGUGCGAAAGCGUGGGGGCAAACA